CGGGAGGCAGCAGUGAGGAAUAUUGGUCAAUGGACGAGAGUCUGAACCAGCCAAGUAGCGUGAAGGAUGACUGCCUAUGGGUUGUAAACUUCUUUUAUACGGGAAUAAGUGAGGCACGUGUGCCUUUUUGUAUGUACCGUAUGAAUAAGGAUCGGCUAACUCCGUGCCAGCAGCCGCGGUAAUACGGAGGAUCCGAGCGUUAUCCGGAUUUAUUGGGUUUAAAGGGAGCGUAGGCGGACGCUUAAGUCAGUUGUGAAAGUUUGCGGCUCAACCGUAAAAUUGCAGUUGAUACUGGGUGUCUUGAGUA
rnacentral:rRNA from 1 species